UACGUAGGGGGCAAGCGUUAUCCGGAUUUACUGGGUGUAAAGGGAGCGCAGACGGCAGUGCAAGUCUGGAGUGAAAGCCCGGGGCCCAACCCCGGAACUGCUCUGGAAACUGUGCGGCUAGAGUACUGGAGGGGCAGGCGGAAUUCCUAGUGUAGCGGUGAAAUGCGUAGGUAUUAGGAGGAACACCAGUGGCGAAGGCGGCCUGCUGGACAGUAACUGACGUUGAGGCUCGAAAGCGUGGGGAGCAAACAGG
rnacentral:rRNA from 1 species